UGUAAUCCCCCAUAAUUUUAUACAUUUUAUUAAUAUAUUUUAACGUAUAGUUAAUUAUAUUUAAAUAGAAUUUAUAAAUUUUAGAAAUAAAUAUAUAAUUAACGUAUAUUUAUUUUAUUUGAUUACAUUCUAAACAUUUUAACGAUUUAUGAAAUCAAAAAUAAUUUUAGAAUUUUAUGUUGAAAAGAAUUUGAAUUACGAAAAUACGUUUUUACUUAGAAAACAAUCAUAAUCGGUUUCGAAUUCAAACAUAAACUCAAUUAUAAUCCUAGCCCAAAUAACAAAGCCCAAAAUAAAUAACCCCAAAUAAACCCAUAACCCUUUCUCCUAUUCAACUUCACGUGAAACAAAAAUAAAAAGAGAAACAAAAGAAAACUCUCAAACCCUUGCUUCACCAUUCACGUGAAAACGCACAAGACUCUCUGCUUCAGCCACCGCCGCUCCUCCUUGCUGCUAUCCCUCACGCCGCCGGCCACCUCCUCCGUCGCGCGCAACCUCCCUCGCCGGACGCCGCACCACCACUGUCAACCGCUGCCACCUUGCCACGCCGCACCGCGACGACCACCUGCACCGCCUGAAGCUGGCCGUCGUCGCUGCCCUUGCGGCCAUCACUUCUCUCGUUCGUCCCUUCUCUUUUCCCCCUUUGCUUGCUGCUCGGUUCUCCUUUCGCAAGCAACAUUGCAGUCGUUCGCGAGCCUCCUCGUCGCCGCGCACCACCACCUUCGUCAACCAGCCAUCAGCCGCCGCCCAGCCAUCUCCUCUCCUCCUUGAUUUCGGCGGAGAAUUCUUUGUGGGCGACUUUUGAAUUCGUUAAAGUGGCCUAUCAGUUUGUUUACACAAGGAAUAAAAUGUUUCUUUCCAAGUAUACCAACAUAGGAUCCUUCGAGAAACUUGAUAUAGAAACCCCUGAUAUUUACGUGAAGAAAAUUGUGUUUGGAUGUGAAUAUUAUGCUAAAGUUCAUGGGCAACCUAUCUUAAUGAGAAAGGAUAUCAUAGCAGCCACUAUCAUUAAUUGCUUACCUAACAAAUUUCCAUACCUAGAACUCAAGGAAAAGUUUAAAGACAUGCAUUCUGAUAAUGGAACUCCAAACUUGGCUAAGUAUGGAACUUGGGAUGGUAGAUGGAAAUAUGAUUCAGAAAUUCUGACCACCGUUAUUGAAGCGGCAGAAAGUGGGUUUAGAGACGGUAAAAUCGUAGGGAGUCAUGUUGGGGAUUCAGUUACAGAAGAACCUAUGGGAAUUAGUGUAAAUAAUGACCUAGAGGAAAAUGAUGUAGCUGUGGAGAAUGAGAAUGUAGGUGUUGAGGCAGAGUAUCCUAACCCAGCGGCUCAUGAGCCAACCAUUGAGAUCUCUAGUGAUUCGGAUGCAGAGCUCGAAAGUGAACAGGAGAUGGCAAGUGAGCCUAAUCAAGAUGAAGACAUGGGUGAAGAUGCAAACCCUGAGGAAGACCCCGAUGAAGACCCUGAAGAAGAGUUUGAUGAUUUUGAGAUCUAAAUUUCACUCCGCAAGUUUCAGGAGCAAUGGAUAGGCAAGAGGCCACAAAUAUUUUGAAGUCAUUAAUAGUUAAUUAGCUCUUUUAUGUUUUAAAGAAUAAGUAGCAAAGCUACAACAGUUUAAGGUUAAAGUUUAUUGAAGUUUGAAAUGUUCUUUAUUAUUUUCAAGGAUAUAAUAAACCUUUAUAGAGUCAGCAAUAGAAGUUAAAGUAUUUUUUUUUCCAAUUUGGGAAUUCCAUAAUUCGCCAACAGUAGUUUAAAUUUAUAUCAUAGAACCUUUACUUUAUUUUAGGACAAACUCGAUGUUACGAUUUAGGAAGUGUUAUCAACAUUUUGUUUCGAGGAAUAAAGCUAGAUUAUAGAUAAUCCAAAUGAUCAUGAGUUUAUUUUGGGCACCCGAAUGGGAAUAUUAUUACUUAUUUGUUGUGAUUGAACUUCCAUUCAUUGGUUUUCAAAUUGUAUGUCCUUGAUGGGGAUAUUUUCUUGAAUGAGUGACGAUGAUUGCUCUAUUAUUGGUGUACAUUCUUGAAUAAGUGUUUGUUGAUGCGAUCUCUAUGAUCAAAUCUAAAUUUCUUUCGUAGAGGGGAAAUAUGAGUUAUGGAUCGUAGAGUAAUUAAUUUUAGGUCGCACGCUAGAAUGUCAAGCAAUAAUGACUUAGUUGUCGCUAUUCGCCUCUUGACGGAAAAGAUGAUCCAAGAGAGAAUUGAGCGUCCCGAUUCUGCUGGGGACAUGUUUGAGAGACUAGCCAAAGUUAAGCCACCAUGAAUUAAGGGGCAAGUUGAUCCUACUUUUUUUUAGAGAACUAGGUUAGAGAGUUUGAGAAACUGUUUGGGGAUGUAAAAUGUCUUGAGAACAUGAGAGUGGGUCAAGUUGUCAUGUACUUGAAAGAUAAGCUGAUUUAUGGUGGAGAGAAAAUAGAGCUAGGCUUAGCGCUGCUGAGAGAUUCAAUUAGGAUUCAAUUGUUACUGUCUUAAGGGGAAAGUUUUACCCUACCUUUUAUGAGAAAGCAAAAAGCUUAGGAAUUCAUAAACCUUAGCAUAGGGAGCAUGACCAUAGCUGAAUACUAUGCAGACUUAUAGCAUGACCACCUUAGGAUUAGGUGGGGGAAACCUUUACGUCUUUAUACAUUGUGUAUGGGGGGAGCUGCUCAUAUUUAUGGCCUGUAGUCCAGAAUGGACAAGAAAAAUGUUGUUGGGGAGAAAAGAAAAGAGUUUAAUGCUGGAAAAACCAAGGGAAUUUCAAGAGGAAUAUGAAUGAGAAUAGGAAUGGGAAUGGAAAUGAAAAUUUUCAAGGAAGGAACAAUCAGGGGAACAACAAUAGGAACCAAUCUGAAAGAGUGUAUCACUGUAAGAUGUGCAAUAACAAUCACCCUGGCAAGAACUGCAAAGGAGAAUUAGUGACCUGCAACUAUUGUCAGAAAAAGGGGCAUAGGAAGUAUGAGUGCUUUACUAAGCAGAAAAAGGAACAAAAUGGUAAUGAGAUUGGUAACCGGGUAAAGUCGGGAUUUAACCAGUCAAGAAAUUAGAGUUCGAAGCUUAUAGGGUCGCAAGACAGCCAAGGAAACCUCCAUAAGUCUGCUAAUUAGAAUAACAACCAUAACAAGGCCCCGGGUAAACUGUCUGUGAUAAGUCGAAAUGAAGGUGAACGACCUGUUGACUUAGUUUCUAUUACUUUUCUAUUAACUCCGUGCUAGUUAGAAAGUUAUUUGAUUCAGGGAAAGCUUAUUCUUUUGCUUCGUCAUCUCUUAUUAAGAGUUCGAAGUUAGUAGAUUUUGAGGUGAUUGAUUUACCCGUUAGUAUUCCUACUGCUGUAACCAUAAGGUGUACCAAAUUGUUUAAGAACUUGCCUUGUGAACUAUUUUUUUUUUCGGUUGUGUGAGCUAGAUGUGAGUUAAGAAGUCGGAAUGAAGAUCGAAGAUGUUCCAAUUGUGAAUGAAUUCAUGGAUGUGUUUCCUAGUGAGAUUGCAGGUAUGCCACUUGCUAAGAGCCGUUGAGUCCCAUAUAGACUUAGUUCCUAGAAUGACGCAUAUAUCUAGAGAACCAUAUAGAAUAACACCUCCUGAAAUGAGCUAAUUAUGACACAGUUGCAAGAGUUGUUUCGUUAAGGGGUGUAUUAGGCCUAGUGCAUCACCGUGGGGAGCUCCUGUGUGUUUGUUAAGGAAAAGAUAAGAGUAUGGAAUUAUGCAUCGAUUUUAGGGAGCUAAACAACAUCAAGAACAAGUAUCCUUUGCCUAGGAUAGAUGACAUAUUGGGUCAAUCGAAUUGGGCGAGUGUGUUCUUGAAGACUGAUUGUGUUUGAAGUAUCACCAAUUAAGGAUAGCUGAUAAGGGCCUAUAAGACCUCAUUAGGACUCGUUAUUGUCAUUAUGGGUUUAGAGUAAUGUCUUUUGGGUUAACCAAUGCACCUGCCAUAAUUAUGGAUUUAAUAUAAGAUUUUCCACAAAUUCCGAAUUAAGUUCGUUAUUAUGUUAUUGAUGAUAUCCCGAUUUGUUCAAGGAAUGAAAAAGAGCAUGACAAACACUUGAGAAUUACUUGGAGACGCUUAGAAAGAAUCUAGUUUUAUUAAAUAAAGUAUACAAAUCUUGAAGUCAUAUGUGUAUAAGUUACACCGACGGAAAAGUGAAGGACUAAAUUGAUUGAGAACUAUGUUACGUAAGGAAAUAAAUUUAAGAGAAGAUUCCAGUGGUCCAGGAUCGUUAGAAAUCAUUUGUUGUCUGGAAAAGAUGAAAAGAAAUACAUGAAUUGGUGCAAGAGCUAAGAGUUAAGCCCAAAAGUUAUACACCCAUGAAAAGCAUAAUGAGGUUCGGUAAAAAGGAAAAGUUGAACAAAAGGAGUUUCUGUAGAUCCUACUAAGAAUCAAGCUGUGAGUGAGUGACCUACUCCAAAGGAACGUGUCUGAUAUCUGAAGUUUCCUAGGCCUAGCUGACUAUUACAGGGGGUUUGUGAAAGACUUUUCGAACAAAGAAAAACCAAUGACCACUUUGAUAAAAAGGAAUCGAAAUUCGAGUGGAGUGAGAAAUGUGAGAAAGCUUUCUAGAUUUUAAAAGAGAGUUUGACCUCCGCACCUAUCGCCGCGACAAUUGAAACCUCAUGAAAUCAAUUACCCUACCCAUGACCUAGAGUCAGCUGUUAUUGUGUUCACUUUGAACGAUUUGGAGACAUUAUCUUUAUGGGGCAACAUUUGAGAUCCUUACCAACCAUAAAAGUCUGAAACUUUGGCAAAAAGGUCUAGUGAAUCUUGGGACGACAUUGAAAAUGAGUACUGCUUUUCACCCUGCGAUCGAUGGACAAACUGAGAUUACUAACGAAAAAUAUGUUGAGAGACUGUGUUAUUGACUUUAAAAGUAAUCGGGACGACCACCUAGAUUCGAUUGACCUUCUUGCAACAAUAGUUACUAUGCGAGCUUUAAGAUGACACAUGUUGAGGCAUUGUGUGGAAAGAAGUGUAGAAAUCCAACUUGCUACGAUUUUAGUGGAAAUAUAGCAUUGGGGACAUGAUUCGUUGAAGUAGGAAUAUCCAAAGUUAUUCCCUGAGAUGAGUUACGAGGGCGUAACUCGUUUUCUUUAAGGGGGGUAGAAUGCGAUAGAAAUUCGCGCUUUUUACCUAUUUUUGUAGCAAUUUUAUGCAUUUUAUGCUCAUUUUUAGCAACUUAUACAUGUUGAUGUAAAGCAAAUAGAUUCUCCGCAUAAGAAAAAGGUGUUCAUAAGUAACACAAACAACUUUAAGUUGGCAAAAGAGUGCACAUGAGUGACACAAGUAUUUCUCAAGUAAGAAUGAAUUAAAGACUUUUGAAAAAUGUGUGAAUUUUCGUGUCAAGUUUCGGGACGAAACUUCUUUUAAGAGGGGUAGAUUGUAAUCCCCCAUAAUUUUAUACAUUUUAUUAAUAUAUUUUAACGUAUAGUUAAUUAUAUUUAAAUAGAAUUUAUAAAUUUUAGAAAUAAAUAUAUAAUUAACGUAUAUUUAUUUUAUUUGAUUACAUUCUAAACAUUUUAACGAUUUAUGAAAUCAAAAAUAAUUUUAGAAUUUUAUGUUGAAAAGAAUUUGAAUUACGAAAAUACGUUUUUACUUAGAAAACAAUCAUAAUCGGUUUCGAAUUCAAACAUAAACUCAAUUAUAAUCCUAGCCCAAAUAACAAAGCCCAAAAUAAAUAACCCCAAAUAAACCCAUAACCCUUUCUCCUAUUCAACUUCACGUGAAACAAAAAUAAAAAGAGAAACAAAAGAAAACUCUCAAACCCUUGCUUCACCAUUCACGUGAAAACGCACAAGACUCUCUGCUUCAGCCACCGCCGCUCCUCCUUGCUGCUAUCCCUCACGCCGCCGGCCACCUCCUCCGUCGCGCGCAACCUCCCUCGCCGGACGCCGCACCACCACUGUCAACCGCUGCCACCUUGCCACGCCGCACCGCGACGACCACCUGCACCGCCUGAAGCUGGCCGUCGUCGCUGCCCUUGCGGCCAUCACUUCUCUCGUUCGUCCCUUCUCUUUUCCCCCUUUGCUUGCUGCUCGGUUCUCCUUUCGCAAGCAACAUUGCAGUCGUUCGCGAGCCUCCUCGUCGCCGCGCACCACCACCUUCGUCAACCAGCCAUCAGCCGCCGCCCAGCCAUCUCCUCUCCUCCUUGAUUUCGGCGGAGAAUUCUUUGUGGGCGACUUUUGAAUUCGUUAAAGUGGCCUAUCAGUUUGUUUACACAAGUCUCUAAGGAUCAAUAAGCGUUGCCCAUCUACAGGUUUGAAGAUGAUGCAUCAUUGGGAUCGGGAUUAGAGAGCUUGUAGUUCUAUUCGUUUAAUUAAGUGAUUUAAUUUGUUAACUUGGUUUUGAAAUUUGUCGUACUAUUCGUAUUUCCUUAAUUCAGUUAAUUGGUUGGACCUAAUAUGUAAUAGAUUAUUUAUGAACCUAAAAGUUAGUUUCAU